AGAGUAUUACUUGACAGACUUGCAGCAUGGUCAGAGGAGAAGAGGUGAGAGAACUGAAACAACUGAGAAGAAAAAGAAGGGGAUCUUGGGAGUUUAAAAAGGGAUGCCUCUGCAGACAGAACUUCCGGAUGCUCUGAUCUUCAGUGACCCAGCUGUUGAGAUCCCAAAGUGCAUGGAUUGUGCAACUACAGCCUGAGAUGAAAAUCAAAGUUACGAAUAAGUAUCAAUCCUGCAGAGAAAUCCACCACCCUGGAUCUCCAUGAACCUGAGUCAAACAGCGUUUCUCCUCUUCCAUAGCUAUCUGGAAUAGCACAGCAAAAGCCUGUAAGAUGACAUAACAUAACCCCUGGCGUUUGGGGCGAACAUUUUUUCUUCAGAUGGA